rnacentral:lncRNA from 1 species
AAGUCACAGGGAACAAGGCAGAAUGAGGUUCAGUGGGGUGUGCCAGGUGAGUGUUGAUCAGCACCAAUGACAGCAUGAAACUGAUGUUCCAGGGACUAAGAUGAAGCAGUUGAAAUCAAUUGGAUCCCAGGCAGCUUCCAGCCAGCAGAGACAUUCUGUCUUCCCUACACUCUGGGCAGGUCUUGGCAGCGCCCUGCCUGACUCCAGCCUGUCCCUUCUCGAGCCUGGAAAAGCCCAGGAGACCGAGGCGCACUCACCCGGUGGCUGCCUCUGUCCAUGGUGUAAGAGAAUGCUUCUUCCAGGCUCAGCUGAUGUCGAGGAGGCAAAAGAAACAGAGGAAGAGACACAUGCCCUAAAGCAGAGUUGCUGAGCUCAGAAGUGUGGAAGCAGAAGAGUUCGGUGGACUUGGGAAUGCUCCCUUUGUGAUAAAGCCCCAGGGUGGCUGCAACUUCUCUGAGAUCCGUGGAUUCUGUGACUGGGUCUGUGUUCCCCCAUGCAUGAAUCUGUACCCAAAUAAAAUUCUCUUUGCUUUUA